rnacentral:lncRNA from 10 species
UUUUUAAUAAACUUUCACUCCUCCUCCAAAACUUGUCUGGGUCUCUCACUCUGCCUUAUGCCCCUCGGUCAAAUUCUUUCUUCAGAGGAGGCAAGAAUUGAAGGUUGCUGCGGACCUGUUUGGACUCGCCACCACUAACAAUAUCCUUUUGAACAAUCAUAUUUCUACAGGCCUUGUACCUUCCCAUCUGGGCUAUGUUGAGUCAAUAAGAGGUGGCAAAGAUUGGUCCUGAGGUUAAUCAGCAUCUGCCUGUGAGACAGUUGUCAACCUGGACUCCCAAGUGGCCAAAUUCAACCAGAAUCUAGAAGGCGAGGGAACCAGAUAAUUUUGUACAUUACAGCCUUCCAGGCUGAAGAAGAAAGAUGUAUCUGAAGGAACAAAUAGAGGAGAUCCGGCAUGCAGGCCUAAUUUGCUUUUGUUAACACACCCAAGUUUUGAUAAAACUCCAAAACAUGUAUUUAAGGAAGCUAGAAAUUUAAAAUAUUUUGCAAUUUCCAUGGCAAGAAUGGUUUCUCAGGAAUGGUCAUUUACUAUUUAAGCUAAUAACUAGAUUCCAAUAAGAAAGUUCUUUUAUGGUUAGUGACCAACCCCUUUUCUUGUUCCCUAUAAUACAGUAUAUUGUAGAUAUUAAAGAAAUGUCAGGGAUUGUUACUAUUAUUCAUUUUAUAAUCACCUCCUUUCCCCUAUUUAGAUAUUUAAGUCUCUCCUUGUUUCCAUGCCGCAUCUGCUAAGUGAGGAUCUAACCUGUCACUGAAUUCUCCUAGGAUUUCUGUUCAUAUCAGAACCCUUCCCUCUUCUGAAUGCCAUAAUCUAAGCUCCAUUCACCCACAAGCUACAACCUACUGACUUACUUAAUUCCUUUCUCUUUUAUAAGCUAUAUUUCUUUAUUUGCAUUUAAUCCUAUGUACCGUUUUGGGCUUACUCUUGCUUUCAGCUAGACAAACUGCUCUAGCCUCCUCCUUGUUCUUAGUUCUAUACUACACUUUAACAUUCGCAUUGCCUUGAUGCUUGAGAUGUAAACAUAUAUAAUGUGGAGUUGGGCAAAAUUAAGGGUCUGCAUCCCCAUUAUUGACUUUUAGACAGCACCACUUCACCGUGCCCCUAUCUCCAUCUAUUUCUAUUAUACAAUGCUUGUAUCCAUCUAUUCAGAAUUUGUCUGAAUGUGAAGUCUCAGCCAUCCUUGUCAAACCCAUCUCUCCAUAGGCACUUCACUAUAUAGGACAAGUACAUACACAAGAAUAAGAAGCCUUGUUUAUAAUUAUAGACUGCUUUACCACACACAUUCUCAUCAAUGUUUCAUCUUUCACGACACUGAUAACUUGAAUUAGAAAGGAUUCUGGACAGUCAGCAGAAACUUGUUUUAAACUGAGCUUUGUUAGAAAAUAAAAGUAAGACUGAAAUAAAUA